rnacentral:rRNA from 1 species
GAUGAACGCUGGCGGCGUGCCUAACACAUGCAAGUCGAACGGAGCUGCUUUGAUGAAGUUUCGGAUGGAUUUAAAACAGCUUAGUGGCGGACGGGUGAGUAACGCGUGGGUAACCUGCCUCACACUGGGGGAUAACAGUUAGAAAUAGCUGCUAAUACCGCAUAAGCGCACAGUUCCGCAUGGAACAGUGUGAAAAACUCCGGUGGUGUGAGAUGGACCCGCGUCUGAUUAGCCAGUUGGCGGGGUAACGGCCCACCAAAGCGACGAUCAGUAGCCGGCCUGAGAGGGUGAACGGCCACAUUGGGACUGAGACACGGCCCAAACUCCUACGGGAGGCAGCAGUGGGGAAUAUUGCACAAUGGGGGAAACCCUGAUGCAGCGACGCCGCGUGAGUGAAGAAGUAUUUCGGUAUGUAAAGCUCUAUCAGCAGGGAAGAAAGUGACGGUACCUGAAUAAGAAGCCCCGGCUAACUACGUG